GGGGUUGUGGCUCAGCGGUAGAGCGUUCACCUAGCAUAUGUGAGGCCCUGGGUUCGAUCCUCAGCACCACA
rnacentral:tRNA from 1 species